rnacentral:lncRNA from 1 species
AAGGACACAGUGGAUGGACACCACAGUGGACGGACACAAAGGACACCACAAGAAAAGGAUACAGAGUACAAAGCACAGAUCUCGGGUCCAACCCUACAAGAGAGCCUUGGUUUUACACAGCAGCAGCCUGGCCACAGCCUUCUGA